ensembl:lncRNA
CUCCAUUCACCAAAAGCAUAGGAAGAGAGGGGGUUACAAUAGUUUCAUCUGGAUUAUAGAUUGUGGUAUUGCUUUGAUAAUGAUAUCAUACUGUUUUCUAUCAAAUAAAUAAAAUUUUGAACAGAAAGUCUCAAAAGACAUAAUGACUCCAGUAUUGUCUAAAAUAUGCAUUACAGACCAUAUUCCUUUCUCCCAACAAUUUUGGUAAAAUAAAGACUUAUUCCUAAAUAUAACAAACCUACAGUUCCACAAAGGGAUGUUAUGGGGACUGAAAUUAUGCUUGGAGAUCAUUUUCCAGUGAAGUAAAACCUGUUGAUGAAACGCUGAUAACAACAGGAUCAGCGAGAUUUUUUGUGCACACGUCAGCAUGACAUCAGAGCAAGGCGGAGGUAACUCGGACACUUUUCUAACCGGCAUGCAUCUCGCGAUGAUCACUGCGCAGAUUUUGCCAUAGGAUUUUGCUCAUCUCAAACAAGCGUAAUCUCUUGUGGGGGCGGGGCUAGCAGCGGUGUGUUCUCAUUCGCUACUGAGUUUUCGAUUGACAGCUUGAAGUUUCUUGACCAGGAAGUGAAAGCGUCAAUGUUGCGUGUGGAUGAAUUACACAAGCUUCAGUCUGGAUCCAGAACACCUGAGAAGAGAUGAUACCAACACCUCAGAGAUGGCAAAACAACAUACAGAACAACCAAAUUUUGCUAUAAGUUUGAUUGCAUCAUAUGAUAAUUGCUGUUAAUAGUGUUCUUCGUCUGUUUGAUUAAGCCUUUAAUUGAUUUUCCAUACAUUUCUGCCAUAUGUACAUAAACUGACAGUCACCACUGAUAUGGUACUACUAAAUAUUGUAGAAACUUAAUUUUCUGUAAAGUUGCUUUGCAACGAUUUGUAUUGUAAAAAGCGCUAUACAAAUAAACUUGAACUGAAUUUAAUUGAAUUGAAUACAGUAACAGGAGCAAUUGCAUUUUUGGUCCAAUUGGAGGAGCUAUGUCUCAGCUGCCUUUGAGGGUGUGUUAAAAUUUCCACUAUGGCCUUAUUCACAAGGCACUUGACUGUCACCACACAAAAUUUCAAACAUUUUUUCUUUAAAAUUCUACAGUUAAAAUGUUUGAAAUUUUAAAUGGUAACAGUCGAUUCCUUUGGAAAUAAAGCCCCGUUAUAUAUAACUUUUAACGCAUCCUAAAAGCCAGCUGAGAUAUUGCAC